UAACCAAACCAAAUUCGUAAAUUAAUAUUUCUAGUACUGUAUCUAUUUUUCUUCUUAAGAUUAUGAAUUGCUCUUUUUUAUCCUAAAAUAUAUAACAAUCCAGUACGAGAUGAGAUACAUCAUAAUAAUAUGAAUUCAAACAGAUUUUCUGUUUAGAUUCGUGAUGUUAGGAUAUGUCUCAUCUCAGUACUAAGUUGCUAUAUUUUACUCUCUCUAUUUUAAAACAAAGUAAAAUAGUACGAGAUGCGAUACAUUAUAAUACUAUAAAUUGAAACAGACAUUAUGUUCAGAUUUGAAGUAUUAUGAUAUAUCACAUCUACUACUAGAAUUCUAUAUUUUAAGAGAUAAAUUUUACCAUUUUUGAGAGGUAUGAAAAUGUACCAAAAUUUAUUGCAAAUUUCCGUAACUCCUAGGUAUAUAUACCAAAUUUUACACUGAAAAAUAUAGUACAUCUCAAUAUCUCAUUAAGAACAGUAAAAUAACUCAUUUUGAGAGAGAGGCAGUACAAGAUUCAGACAAUGACCACGGAGAAAGUCCGGUAGAAUUCCUCCAAUCUGCUGCAGCUCGAAUGUUCUUUACUCGAUAUGACAGCAGAAAUCUGAGUGGAACAGCAGCAGCAGCAUAUGUUCUUUGCUGGAUUUUUCAUAUCAUACCGGACCUAAAAGAGAGGUGCAGAAUCGAAAGACUGAAGCUUUCAGUUCAGGCCGGCAAAGAAACAAGUGGAGCAUGAUAAGAGCUCGGAAUUGGAUUCCAUUGCCCUGAAAGAUAAUUAAAAAAAGGAGACUAAAUUUAUCUAUCACGACGAGAAGAGAAGAAGAGGAGAAUGUGAUUCCCAAUCAGACACAAAAAAAACUCCAGCUUUAUUCCUUCCUUUCCGACUGCACUCACCCACUUUGAAUCUCUGACCAAAUGAUGAUGAUGAAUUGAUGUGGUUUCCCUUUCAAAAUUAACUUGCAAACAAAUUGUGACGACGACAGACGCCAUUGAUGUGCUUCCGUUCGCUGAGGGAGCUAGGAUGUGAUUCUCAAUUAGAUACAACC
rnacentral:sRNA from 1 species